rnacentral:lncRNA from 1 species
GAGAUUUGAAGAUCCAGAAAUUCUAAGUGAAAUUGAAACCUUCCCAAAAAGUAAAAACAUAAAAAAAUAAAGGAUCUCACUCUCCAGAAACAGUAACAUUCACCUAUCUUCAUCUUGCCCCUAAUAAGUGCAGAGAUUUGAAGAUCCAGAAAUUCUAAGUGAAAUUGAAACCUUCCUCAGUUUCCGAAUUUGAUCUUCUCUCUAACUCAACCUCUGCAAACAGAAACUAAGUGAAGUAGUACAAUAUCCAAAUAUCCUUCUUCUACGUUACUAUAUUUAUUGUUUCUUUCUGAAUUUCUCAUGCCAAUAUACAUUAAUCUGCAAUUUGUAGACUCAAUUUUUAUGUAGCCUUAUGUAUGAUUUCGUUAAUUAGUAUUACAAUCAUAAAUGAAAUAUAAAAGAAGCAACUCUUUACUCA